rnacentral:misc_RNA from 1 species
UGGGGUACCUUCGGGAGCCAGCCGUCUAAGGUGGGACAGAUGAUUAGGGUGAAGUCGUAACAAGGUAGCCGUAGGAGAACCUGCGGCUGGAUCACCUCCUUUCUAAGGAAAAUCGGAAACCUACACAUUCGUUGAAACUUUGUUAGUUUUGAGA